AUCGUCCAACCCCACCCAGGCUGACAGUGACGCCCUCCAGCAUCACCGUGGAAGGGCAGCCCCUGGUCUUCUCCUGCCAGGCGCCGCCCGGCGAUGCCGAGAGGAGAUUUGGGAUCUUCCAGGAGGACCUGGAGGUCACCGCUGGGAUCUGGGAAGGUUCUGGAAGUUCUGGUGUCCGGCUGAGGGUGGAGAAGAGCGGCCAGAACCAGACGGGGAACUUCAGCUGCCGCUACGAGGAGAUGACCGAGGGCCGGUGGAUCGCGUCCUACCCCAGCGACGCCGUCCAGGUCAUCGUCAAAGAUCCGUGUCCUCCUCCCGUCCUGUCCGUGGAGCCGCUCUCGGGCGUGGUGGCCACCGGCCACCGGCUGCGCCUGACCUGCGCCGCGCCCCGCAACGACUUCCGGCGCCGCUUCCGCUUCUUCCGCGACGGCGCCGAGGUGACGCCGGGCGCCGGUGACGUCAUCGGUGACGUCAUCGGCGGGGACGGCUCCGAGCUGCUUUUCCCGCGGAUUUCCCGGGNGGGUUUUUGGGGUGUUUGCUGACCCAGAGUGAUUUUUUGGGGUGGUUUUGGGGUUUUUGGGGUUUUUGGUGUCCUUGGGACUGUUUUUUGGGGUGGUUUUGGGUUUUUUUGUUGUGGUUUUGGGGUUUUUGGGGUGAUUUGUGGUUUUUGGGGUGUUUGCUGACCCUGGGGUUGGUUUUUGAGGUGGUUUUUGGGUUUUUGGGGUGAUUUUGGGGUUUUUGGGGCGUUUGGUGACCCUGGGGUUGGGUUUUGGGGUGGUUUUGGGGUGGUUUUGGGGUUUUUGGGGUGGUUUUGGGGUUUUUGGGGUGUUUGCUGACCCUGGGGUUGGUUUUUGGGGUGAUUUUGGGGUUUUUGGGGUGUUUGCUGACCCAGGGGUUGGUUUUGGGGGUGAGAUUUUGGGGGUUUUAGGGGUUUUUGAGGAGGCUUUGUGGAUCUGGAACCUUUUAGGGGAAUUUUUGGGGUUUUUCAUUGACCUCUGGGGAUUUGGGGAUUUUUUGGAGCGAGAUUUUAAGAGGUUUUGGGGGAAGUUUGGGAGGAUUUGGGGUUUUUUUAGGCUUUAUUUUUUAUUAUUUUUAUUUGUUUUUUUUUUUAGCAGGAAAUUUGCUGACCCAAGGUUUUUUUUGGGGUCGAUUUUGGGGUUUUUAGGAUAUUUCCUGACCCAGGGAUUUUUUUGGGGGGUGAAAAUUCAGAUUUUUUGAGAAUUCGCUGACCCCAAGUGAUUUUUUUGAGUAAAUUUUUGGGGAUUUUGGGGUUUUUUUGCUGAUCCAGGAGGAUUUUUGGGGCAGUUUUGGGGGUUUUUGGGUAUUUAUUGACCCAGUUUUUUUGGGGGGGGUUUCUCACCCUCAGCUCAGUUCGAGCUCCUCCCAUUGGUCGUCGGCACCUCAGUGGGCGUGGCCUCGCUGCUCCUCGGGCUCCUAUUGGCUGCUUGUCUGUGCCGGAAGAGGCGGGGUCAGUGGGGGAGGGGAGGAGUUUGACCCCACCCCCAAAAUCGCCCAUUUUAACCCUAAAAUUUCCCUGUCAGU
rnacentral:lncRNA from 1 species